GAAGCAGCCACCCUUUAAAGAAAGCGUAAUAGCUCACUAGUCGAGUCGGCCUGCGCGGAAGAUGUAACGGGGCUAAAACUAUGUGCCGAAGCUGCGGAUGUAUACUUUGUAUACGUGGUAGGGGAGCGUUCUGUAAGCCGAUGAAGGUGUGUUGAGAAGCNNNNNNNNNNNNNNNAUGCUGGAGGUAUCAGAAGUGCGAAUGCUGACGUGAGUAACGACAAAACGGGUGAAAAACCCGUUCGCCGAAAGACCAAGGGUUCCAGUCCAACGUUAAUCGGGGCUGGGUGAGUCGACCCCUAAGGCGAGGCCGAAAGGCGUAGUCGAUGGGAAAAUGGUUAAUAUUCCAUUACUUCUGUGUAAUGCGAUGAGAGGACGGAGAAGGCUAAAUCAGCCUGGCGUUGGUUGUCCAGGUGAAAGGAUGUAGGCAUGUAUCUUAGGCAAAUCCGGGGUACUCUAUGCUGAGAUCUGAUAGCAAGCUGUACUUGUACAGCGAAGUGGUUGAUGCCAUGCUUCCAGGAAAAGUCUCUAAGCUUCAGUUACACAGGAAUCGUACCCGAAACCGACACAGGUGGUCAGGUCGAGUAGACCAAGGCGCUUGAGAGAACUCUGCUGAAGGAACUAGGCAAAAUGGUACCGUAACUUCGGGAGAAGGUACGCUGUUGUUGGUGAUGGAACUCGCUUCCUGAGCUGACGACAGCCGCAGAAACCAGGCCGCUGCAACUGUUUAUUAAAAACAUAGCACUCUGCAAACACGAAAGUGGACGUAUAGGGUGUGAUGCCUGCCCGGUGCUGGAAGGUUAAUUGAUGGGGUUAGCGUAAGCGAAGCUCUUGAUCGAAGCCCCAGUAAACGGCGGCCGUAACUAUAACGGUCCUAAGGUAGCGAAAUUCCUUGUCGGGUAAGUUCCGACCUGCACGAAUGGCAUAAUGAUGGCGGCGCUGUCUCCAGCAGAGGCUCAGUGAAAUCGAAAUCGCUGUGAAGAUGCAGUGUACCCGCGGCUAGACGGAAAGACCCCGUGAACCUUUACUGCAGCUUGACACUGAACUUUGACCUUACUUGUGUAGGAUAGGUGGGAGGCUUUGAAGCUGGAACGCUAGUUCCAGUGGAGCCGUCCUUGAAAUACCACCCUGGUAAUGUUGAGGUUCUAACUCUGUCCCGUGAUCCGGGACGAGGACCGUGUCUGGUGGGUAGUUUGACUGGGGCGGUCUCCUCCUAAAGAGUAACGGAGGAGUACGAAGGUGCGCUCAGCGUGGUCGGAAAUCACGCGUAGAGUAUAAAGGCAAAAGCGCGCUUAACUGCGAGACCCACAAGUCGAGCAGGUACGAAAGUAGGUCUUAGUGAUCCGGUGGUUCUGUAUGGAAGGGCCAUCGCUCAACGGAUAAAAGGUACUCUGGGGAUAACAGGCUGAUACCGCCCAAGAGUUCAUAUCGACGGCGGUGUUUGGCACCUCGAUGUCGGCUCAUCUCAUCCUGGGGCUGAAGCAGGUCCCAAGGGUAUGGCUGUUCGCCAUUUAAAGAGGUACGCGAGCUGGGUUUAGAACGUCGUGAGACAGUUCGGUCCCUAUCUACCGUGGGCGCUGGAAAUUUGAGAGGAUCUGCUCCUAGUACGAGAGGACCAGAGUGGACGAACCUCUGGUGUACCGGUUGUGACGCCAGUCGCAUCGCCGGGUAGCUAUGUUCGGAAGGGAUAACCGCUGAAAGCAUCUAAGCGGGAAGCCUACCUCAAGAUAAGAUUUCCCUAGGACUUUAUGUCCUCUAAAGAGCCGUUCGAGACUAGGACGUUGAUAGGUUGGAUGUGGAAGCAUAGUGAUAUGUGAAGCUGACCAAUACUAAUUGCUCGUGAGGCUUGACUAUACAACACCCAAGCAGUUG
rnacentral:rRNA from 1 species